rnacentral:rRNA from 1 species
AUUGAACGCUGGCGGAAUGCUUUACACAUGCAAGUCGAGCGGCAGCGCGGGGGCAACCCUGGCGGCGAGCGGCGAACGGGUGAGUAAUACAUCGGAACGUGUCCUUAAGUGGGGGAUAGCUCGGCGAAAGCCGGAUUAAUACCGCAUAAGCUCUGAGGAGGAAAGCGGGGGCUCCGUAAGGACCUCGCGCUGUUGGAGCGGCCGAUGUCGGAUUAGCUAGUUGGUGGGGUAAAGGCCCACCAAGGCGACGAUCCGUAGCUGGUCUGAGAGGAUGAUCAGCCACACUGGAACUGAGACACGGUCCAGACUCCUACGGGAGGCAGCAGUGGGGAAUUUUGGACAAUGGGGCAACCCUGAUCCAGCCAUUCCGCGUGAGUGAAGAAGGCCU